CCCCUUUUAAAAGCGUUCAGUGGCUCUUUGUUAGUGACACUGUGAGCCGUCAGGAAGGGGCAAAGUGAAAACAUCACUUUUGGGAAGAGUGGUGACGUGUUGUUUGCUUCCAUCAGUGUUGUGACAAGA